UACGUAGGGACCAAGCGUUGUUCGGAUUUACUGGGCGUAAAGGGCGCGUAGGCGGCGCGGUAAGUCACUUGUGAAAUCUCUGAGCUUAACUCAGAACGGCCAAGUGAAACUGUUGUGCUAGAGUGCAGAAGGGGCAAUCGGAAUUCUUGGUGUAGCGGUGAAAUGCGUAGAUAUCAAGAGGAACACCUGAGGUGAAGACGGGUUGCUGGGCUGACACUGACGCUGAGGCGCGAAAGCCAGGGGAGCAAACGGG
rnacentral:rRNA from 1 species